GCAUAUCAAUAAGCGGAGGAAAAGAAACCAACCGGGAUUGCCUCAGUAACGGCGAGUGAAGCGGCAAGAGCUCAAAUUUGAAAGCUGGCCCCUUCGGGGUCCGCGUUGUAAUUUGCAGAGGAUGCUUCGGGUGCGGCCCCUGUCUAAGUGCCCUGGAACGGGCCGUCAGAGAGGGUGAGAAUCCCGUCUUGGGCAGGGUGCCCGUGCCCGUGUGAAGCUCCUUCGACGAGUCGAGUUGUUUGGGAAUGCAGCUCUAAAUGGGUGGUAAAUUUCAUCUAAAGCUAAAUACCGGCCGGAGACCGAUAGCGCACAAGUAGAGUGAUCGAAAGAUGAAAAGCACUUUGAAAAGAGAGUUAAACAGCACGUGAAAUUGUUGAAAGGGAAGCGCUUGCGACCAGACUCGGCCUCGGGGUUCAGCCAGCACUCGUGCUGGUGUACUUCCCCGGGGGCGGGCCAGCGUCGGUUUGGGCGGCCGGUCAAAGGCCCCAGGAAUGUAUCGCCCUCCGGGGUUGUCUUAUAGCCUGGGGUGCAAUGCGGCCAGCCCGGACCGAGGAACGCGCUUCGGCACGGACGCUGGCGUAAUGGUCGCAAACGACCCGUCUUGAAACACGGACCAAGGAGUCUAACAUCUACGCGAGUGUUCGGGUGUCAAACCCGUACGCGCAGUGAAAGCGAACGGAGGUGGGAGCCCCCCCGGGGCGCACCAUCGACCGAUCCUGAUGUCUUCGGAUGGAUUUGAGUAAGAGCGUAGCUGUGGGGACCCGAAAGAUGGUGAACUAUGCCUGAAUAGGGCGAAGCCAGAGGAAACUCUGGUGGAGGCUCGCAGCGGUUCUGACGUGCAAAUCGAUCGUCAAAUUUGGGUAUAGGGGCGAAAGACUAAUCGAACCAUCUGGUAGCUGGUUCCUGCC
rnacentral:rRNA from 1 species